UAUCUGAAAUUUUCUACAAAGGAUGACAAAAUAAUUUGUGGUUGCUUUGCAGAAGUGAAUACAAUUUUUUUCUUUGAGGAUUGCAACCUCUGCCUUUUUUUGUUUUCCAUUUGCUUGGUAGAUCUUCCUCCAUCCUUUUAUUUUGAGCCUAUGUGUGUCUCUGCACGUGAGAUGGGUUUCCUGAAUACAGCACACUGAUGGGUCUUGACUCUUUAUCCAAUUUGCCAGUCUGUGUCUUUUAAUUGGAGCAUUUUUGAAAAUUCUUUUCUUUAAGAAUGUUGAAUAUUGGCCCCUACUUUCUUCUGGCUUGUAGAGUUUCUGCCAAGAGAUCCGCUGUUAGUCUGAUGGACUUCCCUUUGUGGGUAACCCGACCUUUCUCUCUGGCUGCCCUUAACAUUUUUUCCUUCAUUUCAACUUUGGUGAAUCUGACAAUUAUGUGUCUUGGAGUUGCUCUUUUUGAGGAGUAUCUUUGUGGUGUUCUCUGUAUUUCCUGAAUUUGAAUGUUGGCCUGCCUUGCCAGAUUGGGGAGAUUCUCCUGGAUAAUAUCCUGCAGAAUGUUUUCCAACUUGGUUCCAUUCUCCCCGUCACUUUCAGGUACACAAACCAGAUGUAGAUUUGGUCUUUUCACAUAGUCCCAUAUUUCUUGGAGGCUUUGUUCAUUUCUUUUUAUUCUUUUUUUCUCUAAACUUCUCUUCUCACUUCAUUUCAUUCAUUUGAUCUUCCAUCACUGNNNNNNN
rnacentral:lncRNA from 1 species